rnacentral:sRNA from 1 species
CUGCAGAUACUUACUGAUGGACUCUAA